rnacentral:rRNA from 1 species
GCCAGCAGCCAUGUCACCCUGCAACUGACAACUCCACUGAAGCUAAGCAGGUGUGAGCCUGGUCAGUACCUGGAUGAGACCUUCUUGGGGAAAAACUAAGGUUGCUGCUGGAA